CAAUUGUAUUUAUGUUGAUCUUGAUAACUUAUACUUCCUCAGCUUGUUGCAUUUUAUGGAGCUCAUAUUCACUAUUACAUAACAUUUAUAUAACUAUGACGGUGAUAGAGACAGGAAGACAGCCAAAGAUCCCCAGGAAAACCCCACCUUCAAUCCUAAAACAGCCUGAAGGCUGAAAAACUGGACUGCUGGUUCCAGAUGAAGCCUGCCCUUUCCCAACUGAUUAUUUCUGAAUAAAGCCCACCUGCACACUGGGAGGACAGGGUGGAGCCUCAGGAAGUUCAUACCAUUUGUAGGGGGUAGGAGCCUGGCCUCUCCUGUUCCUGUGUGGUGACCUGAGAAUCAAUUUGUGAGGCAGGAAACCUGCUAGCAGGACUCUCGCUUUGCUGAGUUAAUUUUUCCUUUUUCCUUUCCACCCAAUAAGUUCCAUUUUCCUCACCCUUCUAUGUAUCCACAAGCCUAAUCAUUCCUGGUUGUGUGACAAGAGGCCAGUUUUAGCUGAACUAAGGAGAAAGUUCUGCAACAUUUUUGGCAUCCAGAUAUGGGGCUCGAGGAAAGGAAAAAGGACCUAGCAAAUGAUGCUCUUCUAGAAUAGUGAAGACGUCCUGGCAGUGUUCUCUUUAACCAUGAUGUGGGUUAAGAGGAGUGGACUAAUGUUCUGCUUCUGACUGAUUAUCAGGCGUAAUAUGUACCAUUAUAAUUUCUCACCUACAUUGUGCCUUCAUCUUCCAUCUAUCAAGAAUAAUGAUGGAAUAAAUUGCAGCUAGAGAAGUGAAGAUGAAAGAGAACUAAUCCAUAAGCGAGGAGUUGUAACAUCAGAAGGACUGUUGCAGAUUACCCUGACCCCUACAGUCUGCCAAAGGAAAAUGCAGUGCCUGGAUAAGUGUCCUGCAUAUAUUCAUAUGCCAAUUUCUCAAUAAUGAUUUCCCCAGAUUUUAAUACUGGUGUAGAAUAAAAUCCCUUUUGUUUUUUUAUUCAAAUAGAGUCAUGAAAUAUUGGAAGUCACAAUUAGCAUGCAGGAUAAGUUGAUAGCUAAAAUAAUCAUAGUAUUUUAGUUUAAAUUCUUCCAUUUGAAAAAGUAUUUAGCCCUGAAUCAUAAAAACUUUUAAAGACAUAGAGAAAUAGGACUGUGGUGGGGUGAGGGGAGGGGGGAGGGAUAGCAUUAGGAGAUAUACCUAAUGCUAAAUGACGAGUUAAUGGGUGCAGCACACCAACAUGGC
rnacentral:lncRNA from 10 species